CGGCGGACGGGUGAGUAACGCGUGGGUAACCUGCCUCAUACAGGGGGAUAACAGUUGGAAACGGCUGCUAAUACCGCAUAAGCGCACAGUACCGCAUGGUACGGUGUGAAAAACUCCGGUGGUAUGAGAUGGACCCGCGCCUGAUUAGGUAGUUGGUGGGGUAACGGCCUACCAAGCCGACGAUCAGUAGCCGACCUGAGAGGGUGACCGGCCACAUUGGGACUGAGACACGGCCCAA
rnacentral:rRNA from 1 species